rnacentral:rRNA from 1 species
GAUCGAACGGCGUGGCGGCGUGCCUAAUACAUGCAAGUCGAGGCGAACGGGAUAAAGGGAGCUUGCUCCUUUGAAGUUAGUGGCGGACGGGUGAGUAACACGUGGGUAACCUACCUAUAAGACUGGAAUAACUUCAGGAAACCGGAGCUAAUGCCGGAUAACAUUUGGAACCGCAUGGUUCUAAAGUAAAAGAUGGUUUUGCUAUCACUUAUAGAUGGACCCGCGCCGUAUUAGCUAGUUGGUAAGGUAACGGCUCACCAAGGCGACGAUACGUAGCCGACCUGAGAGGGUGAUCGGCCACACUGGAACUGAGACACGGUCCAG